CGGCAACAGCUCAAAUUUGAAAUCUGGCUUCGGCCCGAGUUGUAAUUUGCAGAGGAAGCUUUAGGCGCGGCACCUUCUGAGUCCCCUGGAACGGGGCGCCAUAGAGGGUGAGAGCCCCGUAUAGUUGGAUGCCAAAUCUCUGUAAAGCUCCUUC
rnacentral:rRNA from 1 species